GAAAGAAAGAAUAGAUAUGCAAAGUUAAAUAGAGGUAGAUGAAGAAGAUUUAUAUACAUUAAAAAUUAACUGCAUGGGGAGAAGAACAGUAAGAAAGGCAAACAAAGGAAUAAAUGUAGAAAAAAUAAUAGGUUUAAAAAAUUAAAAAUAUAAAAAAGAGGAAAAAUGGAAGAAGAAAGAAAAAAUAAAAAAGGAAAACUCCACAGAACUGCAAAAGCCCAACGUAGAGGCAGAGGUUUAUAAUAACAAUAGAAAGCAUGACUGAAUAUACACAUGUGGGAAAACACACACACACACACACACGCACACACUCCUA